GACGAACGCUGGCGGCGUGCCUCAUACAUGCAAGUAGGACGCAGUUGCGAACGGGUGAUCAACGCGUAGGUAACUACCUAUUAGUGGGGGAUAACUAUUGGAACCGAUAGCUAAUAACGCAUACUAGUAGAUGGACCUGCUUUGUAUUAGGUAGUAGGUAGGGUAAUGGCCUACCUAGGCAAAGUUACAUAGCCGACCUGAGGGAGUUGUCGGCCAAACUGGGACUGAGACACGGGCCAGACUCCUACGGGAGGAAGCAGUAGGGAAUCAUCGGCAAUGGGGGGAACGCUGACCGAGCAACGCAGCGUGAGAAAAGAAGGUUUUCGGGUCUGAAAGCUCUGUUGUUAAGGAAGCGGUACUUAACCAGAAAGGGACGGCUAACUACGUGCCAGCAGCCGCGGUAAUAC
rnacentral:rRNA from 1 species